rnacentral:lncRNA from 1 species
AUCGUGGAAUGGGUCGAUUUCCAAGGUAUAUCGUGGAAAGCGAUCGUGUACCACUAUACGUAUAUAUACACAGCAGACAACAGGCCCAAAGAAUCAAAAUUCAAACUUGACACGUGUGGUGAAUUGUUUAUUGACUUCAUAUACAAGUUUUAAGUACAAUGUCUUCCAGGCCAAAUAGAAAAUGCAAAGCCACUAAUCCACCUCUGUCAACAGUGUGUAAAAGUUCAAAGAUAUAAAAUAUCAACAUGGCCGCGCACAUCUAGAUGCUACUUAUAGUAAAGCUGCACCUGUACUUUUAUUUAUUGCUUUCCAACUAGAUGAUGCUUAUUGACUAUGCCUCUUGAUCAAGUAGCCGACGGCUACUACAAGAAAACUGAAUAAUUGCCGAAAUGAUGGGUGCCGGCACGUUAUGGCAAUUUUUGUUUUUCGAAGGUUUUAGAUGUAAUUGUUCCAAAUAAAUUACGACCUAUAUUCCAAAACCUGGCUCCAUGGUUCAGCAUAAACGUACCAUAAAAUUUAUGAUUUCUUACAAACCCAAGUAGCCGAACAUAAGG